rnacentral:tRNA from 1 species
GUGGCUGUGGCUCAGUAGUAGAGCACUUGCCUAGCACGUGUGAGGCACUGGGUUCGAUCCUCAGCACCACA